UACGAAGGGGGCUAGCGUUGUUCGGAAUUACUGGGCGUAAAGGGCGCGUAGGCGGUACUUCAAGUCAGGCGUGAAAGCCCCGGGCUCAACCUGGGAACCGCGCUUGAGACUGGAGAACUAGAGUUCGGGAGAGGAUGGUGGAAUUCCCAGUGUAGAGGUGAAAUUCGUAGAUAUUGGGAAGAACACCGAUGGCGAAGGCAGCCAUCUGGACCGACACUGACGCUGAGGCACGAAAGCGUGGGGAGCAAACAGGG
rnacentral:rRNA from 1 species